AGGAAUUUAGGAUAAAUUAGACCAAGGGCCUUCAAAGCCCUAAGUAGAAGUUAGAAUCUUCUAAUUCCUG
rnacentral:tRNA from 1 species